rnacentral:rRNA from 1 species
AUUGAACGCUGGCGGCAUGCCUUACACAUGCAAGUCGAACGGCAGCACGGGUGCUUGCACCUGGUGGCGAGUGGCGAACGGGUGAGUAAUACAUCGGAACAUGUCCUGUAGUGGGGGAUAGCCCGGCGAAAGCCGGAUUAAUACCGCAUACGAUCCACGGAUGAAAGCGGGGGACCUUCGUGCCUCGCGCUAUAGGGUUGGCCGAUGGCUGAUUAGCUAGUUGGUGGGGUAAAGGCCUACCAAGGCGACGAUCAGUAGCUGGUCUGAGAGGACGACCAGCCACACUGGGACUGAGACACGGCCCAGACUCCUACGGGAGGCAGCAGUGGGGAAUUUUGGACAAUGGGCGAAAGCCUGAUCCAGCAAUGCCGCGUGUGUGAAGAAGGCCUUCGGGUUGUAAAGCACUUUUGUCCGGAAAGAAAUCCUUGACUCUAAUACAGUCGGGGGAUGACGGUACCGGAAGAAUAAGCACCGGCUAACUACGUG